GCGGGGGGCUGGAUGGCCGCUUGGGCCGAUGUUUCGGUUCGAGAGGAAAGUCCGGACUCCACGAAGAGACGGUGCCGGGUAACGCCCGGGCGGAGUGAUCCGACGGAAAGCGCCACAGAGAAAAGACCGCCUGCCACAGGGCGGGUCAGGGUGAAACGGUGGGGUAAGAGCCCACCGCGGGGCUGGUAACAGCCCCGGCACGGCAAGCCCCACCGGGAGCAAUGCCAAAUAGGGACCUCGUCGCGUCGCAAGGCGCGGGGCCGCUUCAGCCCAGAGGUCCGGGUUGGCAGCUAGAGCGGCCGGGCAAUCGGUCGCCCAGAGGAAUGGUCAUCCACGGGGGUCCGCCCCCUGGACAGAAUCCGGCUUACAGGCCCCUCCGCGCAU
rnacentral:RNase_P_RNA from 17 species